rnacentral:rRNA from 1 species
UUAAGCGACUAAGCGUACACGGUGGAUGCCCUGGCAGUCAGAGGCGAUGAAGGACGUGCUAAUCUGCGAUAAGCGUCGGUAAGGUGAUAUGAACCGUUAUAACCGGCGAUUUCCGAAUGGGGAAACCCAGUGUGAUUCGUCACACUAUCAUUAACUGAAUCCAUAGGUUAAUGAGGCGAACCGGGGGAACUGAAACAUCUAAGUACCCCGAGGAAAAGAAAUCAACCGAGAUUCCCCCAGUAGCGGCGAGCGAACGGGGAGCAGCCCAGAGCCUGAAUCAGUGUGUGUGUUAGUGGAAGCGUCUGGAAAGGCGCGCGAUACAGGGUGACAGCCCCGUACACAAAAAUGCACAUACUGUGAGCUCGAUGAGUAGGGCGGGACACGUGGUAUCCUGUCUGAAUAUGGGGGGACCAUCCUCCAAGGCUAAAUACUCCUGACUGACCGAUAGUGAACCAGUACCGUGAGGGAAAGGCGAAAAGAACCCCGGCGAGGGGAGUGAAAAAGAACCUGAAACCGUGUACGUACAAGCAGUGGGAGCACGCUUAGGCGUGUGACUGCGUACCUUUUGUAUAAUGGGUCAGCGACUUAUAUUCUGUAGCAAGGUUAACCGAAUAGGGGAGCCGAAGGGAAACCGAGUCUUAACUGGGCGUUAAGUUGCAGGGUAUAGACCCGAAACCCGGUGAUCUAGCCAUGGGCAGGUUGAAGGUUGGGUAACACUAACUGGAGGACCGAACCGACUAAUGUUGAAAAAUUAGCGGAUGACUUGUGGCUGGGGGUGAAAGGCCAAUCAAACCGGGAGAUAGCUGGUUCUCCCCGAAAGCUAUUUAGGUAGCGCCUCGUGAAUUCAUCUCCGGGGGUAGAGCACUGUUUCGGCAAGGGGGUCAUCCCGACUUACCAACCCGAUGCAAACUGCGAAUACCGGAGAAUGUUAUCACGGGAGACACACGGCGGGUGCUAACGUCCGUCGUGAAGAGGGAAACAACCCAGACCGCCAGCUAAGGUCCCAAAGUCAUGGUUAAGUGGGAAACGAUGUGGGAAGGCCCAGACAGCCAGGAUGUUGGCUUAGAAGCAGCCAUCAUUUAAAGAAAGCGUAAUAGCUCACUGGUCGAGUCGGCCUGCGCGGAAGAUGUAACGGGGCUAAACCAUGCACCGAAGCUGCGGCAGCGACGCUGAUGCGUUGUUGGGUAGGGGAGCGUUCUGUAAGCCUGCGAAGGUGUGCUGUGAGGCAUGCUGGAGGUAUCAGAAGUGCGAAUGCUGACAUAAGUAACGAUAAAGCGGGUGAAAAGCCCGCUCGCCGGAAGACCAAGGGUUCCUGUCCAACGUUAAUCGGGGCAGGGUGAGUCGACCCCUAAGGCGAGGCCGAAAGGCGUAGUCGAUGGGAAACAGGUUAAUAUUCCUGUACUUGGUGUUACUGCGAAGGGGGGACGGAGAAGGCUAUGUUGGCCGGGCGACGGUUGUCCCGGUUUAAGCGUGUAGGCUGGUUUUCCAGGCAAAUCCGGAAAACUAAGGCUGAGGCGUGAUGACGAGGCACUACGGUGCUGAAGUAACAAAUGCCCUGCUUCCAGGAAAAGCCUCUAAGCAUCAGGUAACAUCAAAUCGUACCCCAAACCGACACAGGUGGUCAGGUAGAGAAUACCAAGGCGCUUGAGAGAACUCGGGUGAAGGAACUAGGCAAAAUGGUGCCGUAACUUCGGGAGAAGGCACGCUGAUAUGUAGGUGAAGCGACUUGCUCGUGGAGCUGAAAUCAGUCGAAGAUACCAGCUGGCUGCAACUGUUUAUUAAAAACACAGCACUGUGCAAACACGAAAGUGGACGUAUACGGUGUGACGCCUGCCCGGUGCCGGAAGGUUAAUUGAUGGGGUCAGCGCAAGCGAAGCUCUUGAUCGAAGCCCCGGUAAACGGCGGCCGUAACUAUAACGGUCCUAAGGUAGCGAAAUUCCUUGUCGGGUAAGUUCCGACCUGCACGAAUGGCGUAAUGAUGGCCAGGCUGUCUCCACCCGAGACUCAGUGAAAUUGAACUCGCUGUGAAGAUGCAGUGUACCCGCGGCAAGACGGAAAGACCCCGUGAACCUUUACUAUAGCUUGACACUGAACAUUGAGCCUUGAUGUGUAGGAUAGGUGGGAGGCUUGGAAGUGUGGACGCCAGUCUGCAUGGAGCCGACCUUGAAAUACCACCCUUUAAUGUUUGAUGUUCUAACGUUGACCCGUAAUCCGGGUUGCGGACAGUGUCUGGUGGGUAGUUUGACUGGGGCGGUCUCCUCCUAAAGAGUAACGGAGGAGCACGAAGGUUGGCUAAUCCUGGUCGGACAUCAGGAGGUUAGUGCAAUGGCAUAAGCCAGCUUGACUGCGAGCGUGACGGCGCGAGCAGGUGCGAAAGCAGGUCAUAGUGAUCCGGUGGUUCUGAAUGGAAGGGCCAUCGCUCAACGGAUAAAAGGUACUCCGGGGAUAACAGGCUGAUACCGCCCAAGAGUUCAUAUCGACGGCGGUGUUUGGCACCUCGAUGUCGGCUCAUCACAUCCUGGGGCUGAAGUAGGUCCCAAGGGUAUGGCUGUUCGCCAUUUAAAGUGGUACGCGAGCUGGGUUUAGAACGUCGUGAGACAGUUCGGUCCCUAUCUGCCGUGGGCGCUGGAGAACUGAGGGGGGCUGCUCCUAGUACGAGAGGACCGGAGUGGACGCAUCACUGGUGUUCGGGUUGUCAUGCCAAUGGCACUGCCCGGUAGCUAAAUGCGGAAGAGAUAAGUGCUGAAAGCAUCUAAGCACGAAACUUGCCCCGAGAUGAGUUCUCCCUGACUCCUUGAGAGUCCUGAAGGAACGUUGAAGACGACGACGUUGAUAGGCCGGGUGUGUAAGCGCAGCGAUGCGUUGAGCUAACCGGUACUAAUGAACCGUGAGGCUUAACCUU